rnacentral:rRNA from 1 species
ACGGAGGGUGCAAGCGUUAUUCGGAAUUAUUAGGUGUAAAGCGCGUGUAGGCGGAUGGGUAAGUUAGAUGUUAAAGGUCUGGGCUUAACCGGGAAAGGGCGUGUAAAACUGUGUGGCUUGAGUCUCGUAGAGGAAGGUGGAAUUCCCAGUGUAGAGGUGAAAUGCGUAGAUAUUGGGAUGAACACCGGUGGCGAAGGCAUCCUUCUGAGCGCAGACUCACGCUCAGACGCGAAAACGUGGGGAGCAAACAG